GUGGAGCGGUGAAAGGCUCAGUAACGGGCGAUUUAUUUAAUCUCCUGGGACGGACAACAUCGGGAAACUGAUGGGAAAACGUCUAAGUUGCAUUAAUUUUAGUGUGACGUAAACGGAUAACGUGCAGGAGAGUAAGAUGCCAUCCUAUCAGUUAGUAAGUAGGGUAAGGGCCUACUUAGACGAAGACGGGUACGGGGAAUGAGGGUUUGAUUCCGGAGAGGGAGCCUGAGAGAUGGCUACCAGGACCAAGGUCAGCAGCAGGCGCGAAAAUUAUCGAAGCCCGCCUAGGGGCGAUAGUGAGGAGACGUGUAUAACGAAGUACGUGUAAAGAACGUACUAAUAACUGGAGGUCAAGUCUGGUGCCAGCAUCCGCGGUAAUUCCAGCUCCAGGGGUGUCUAUGAUGAUUGCUGCGAUUAAAAAGUCCGUAGUCAAGCUGACUGACUGACCUGCAAUGUGAUUGAUUAAGGAACGAGCAGGGUUAGGAAAGCAGAGAAUUAGGAGCGACCGAGGGCUAGAGUAUUGAAUGGCGAGAGGUGAAAUUUGAUGACCCAUUCAGGAGUGACAAAGGCGAAGGCACUAGUCAAGGGCGAAUCCGAUGAUCAAGGACGUAGGCUAGAGUUUCGAAAACGAUUAGAGACCGGAGUAGUUCUAGCAGUAAACUAUGCCGACGCCGCGAUAUAGUUUUUUGUGGCUGUGUUGCGGAAGAGAAAUCAAGUAAGGCUUUGGGGAGAGUACGCGCGCAAGCGAUAAAUUUAAAGGAAAUUGACGGAGGAACACCACAAGGAGUGGAGUGUGCGGCUUAAUUUGACUCAACGCGGGACAGCUUACCAGGCCCGAUAAUCGAGCGAGCGUUGUACGCGAUAGAUUAAAGAGUGGUGCAUGGCUGCUAUCGACAGUUGGGGUGACCUUAGGGUUAAUUCCGGCAAGUAGUGAGACCCCUGCAGAUAGUGGACAGGUAUUUUUAAAAUACAGGAAGGAAGGGACAAGAGCAGGUCAGUGAUGCCCUUAGAUGGCCUGGGCUGCACGCGCACUACAGUGGUCAUUAUAAGUAGAAUUUAGAAGUAAAGAUGAUCGAGAGGGACUGAGCUUUGUAAAA
rnacentral:rRNA from 1 species